UUCAGAAUCUUGACUAUCUGCUCUACUUGAACUGAAUGUGAAAGCACACACUGAAAUUCAAUUGCAACUAGAUCUACAUCUACAUCAGAAAGAAUAUCAAAUCCAGGUCCCAAUCACAACACAAACCAGACCAUUGGCCCAUGUUAAUGUUGACACCAUCUUGCAUGCACUAGAAUAACUCAUUCAUUCCAAUGAAAAUCACACUUGUAUUCCAGGCUAUAUAGCUUGCAUGCCAAUCAAGGAGCACGGCAGACACACCAUGCUACAGGUGUCUUGUGUUAUCCUCAGGCAGUUGCUCUGUACUGUCUUGUCCAAGCAUCAGAAGCUUCUUGCGAACUUGAGCAUUGCCGAAUCCUUGAGGACACAGCUCUGCAAGUGCCGCCACUCUUCCGAAGUCCGCAGAACAGAACAAGAAGGGAAUCAUGCAUACGCGGCAUCCUCGCAGGUCCAGCACACGCGCCCAGUCACCCUGCUGAGUCAGCGCAGCGCGCGCAGCACAGCUACCAAUAACAGGAGCAAGCUCAGCUUGAACUGAUCACACUUUGGCCGUGAACGUGCUAAUUCGGCUGGGACCGGGCCCAUCUAGCUCCCAUUCUGACAAAUGAGCCUCAAUCAUGCAA
rnacentral:lncRNA from 1 species